GUGGGGAAUAUUCCGCAAUGGACGAAAGUCUGACGGAGCAACGCCGCGUGAGUGAUGAAGGUUUUCGGACUGUAAAACUCUGUUGUUUAGGACGAAAGUGCCUGUUGCAAAUAGUUGCAGGUAUUGACGGUACUGAACGAGGAAGCCACGGCUAACUACGUGCCAGCAGCCGCGGUAAUACGUAGGUGGCAAGCGUUGUCCGGAAUUAUUGGGCGUAAAGAGCAUGUAGGUGGAUACUUAAGUCUGUUGUGAAAAUGCGGGGCUCAACCCCGUAUUGCGAUGGAAACUGGGUGUCUUGAGUGCAGGAGAGGAAAGGGGAAUUCCCAGUGUAGCGGUGAAAUGCGUAGAUAUUGGGAGGAACACCAGUGGCGAAGGCGCCUUUCUGGACUGUGUCUGACACUGAGAUGCGAAAGCUAGGGGAGCGAACGGGAUUAGAUACCCUAGUAGUCC
rnacentral:rRNA from 1 species